UAAUCCCUGCUCCGCUGGUGUUAAGAGGGUGAUGAAGGAGCCAACAAGUUAAGAAUGGGAAUCCAACAUGCUUCGUAGCCGUGGCUACGGAGUGAGGAUACCCACGUGGUAAAUAGGGCUCUAAAACUCUCUCCUCUCACCGCGGUAGCGGGGAUUUU
rnacentral:other from 1 species